rnacentral:rRNA from 1 species
CCUACGGGAGGCUGCAGUGGGGAAUAUUGGUCAAUGGGCUUACGCCUGAACCAGCCAAGCCGCGUGAGGGAAGACUGCCCUCUGGGUUGUAAACCUCUUCUGUCAGGGAGCAACGCCGGCUACGUGUAGCCGGACUGAGAGUACCUGACGAAAAAGCAUCGGCUAACUCCGUGCCAGCAGCCGCGGUAAUACGGAGGAUGAGACCGUUAGCCGGAUUUAUUGGGUGAACGGGGGGCGUAGGCGGCAUGCCAGGUCAGCGGGAAAAUCGCGGGGCUCAACCUCGCUCUGCCGUUGAAACUGGCGUUCUAGAGUGCAGGAGAGGUAAGUGGAAUGCGUGGUGUAGCGGUGAAAUGCAUAGAGAUCAGGCAGAACACCGGUGGCGAAGGCAGCCUACUGGCGCCUAACUGACGCUGAGGUACGAAAGCGUGGGUAGCAAACAGGAUUAGAUACCCGAGUAGUC